rnacentral:lncRNA from 1 species
AUGGACUUUGGAAAAGAGAUACCCGUAUGUGGCGUAGCAAUGGUGCCACGACAGGAUGGCAGCAAGAAUGGACGCGUGUAUAUGCACCAGAUCCGUUGCGAUGAUACGGUCGUCGCGUACGGCACGUGGUCUGCGGAUGAGACGGAGAAAUUCUCCACCUUUCAGCCUAGAGGAUGCCGCAAAGUCAGUAUUACUCAUUUGAAAGGGGCAGACGAUCAUCCGUAUACUUGCAUAGCUGAAUUGAAAUUCUUUAAACCAGACGCCGCAGCUACGAAGGAUACAAAGCUGGGAGAAUGGCGUCACACCAUCAAUAUGCCUUUGGUUCCUUCCGCCUGUGCCGUAAAUCCCAAAGGGCAGGUCGUAGCGUGGUCUUCCUAUGACGCUUACCAGUUCACAAAUGGUCCAGGUGCUAAAACGAUAACUAGCGUCGUGGACAUGGAAAAAAUGACGGUCAUAGAACGUAUGGUUACUGAAACGAAUCAUGACAUGUUCUGUCCUGGUAUUUCCAUGGGCGAGCAUGGGGUUACGCUCGUGACUGGUGGUAACAACGCUAAUAAAGCAAGCUUGUACAAUAUGGAGGACGAUACUUGGAGCCCGGCGCCAGACAUGACCAUUUCGCGCGGCUACCCCGCUUCCGCCACCUGCUCGGACGGAAGAAUCUUCGUGAUCGGCGGAUCGUGGAGCGGUGGCGAGGGCGACAAGAACGGAGAGAUAUUCGACCUGAACACGAACCAGUGGACUAGACUUCCAGGGUGUCGGGUGGACCCCAUGGUGACGGGCGACAGGCAAGGUGUCUACCGGGGAGAUAACCAUGGUUGGCUCUUCGGCUGGAAAGGUAACACCGUGUUCCAGGCCGGCCCGAGUAAGGCCAUGAACUGGUACUCGGUCGACGGUAACGGUGACGUUAAGGGUGCCGGCACACGGGCCGAUGACAAUGAUGCCAUGUGUGGUACCGCUGUGAUGUACGAUGUAGGCAAAAUCUGCACUUUCGGCGGAUCGCCCGAUUACACUGACUCGGACGCCUCGAACAAUGCGUUCUGUAUGACGAUCAACGAGCCCAACACAAAUGUAGACGUCACCGCCGUAACGAAAAUGGCCUUCAAACGCAUCUUCCACAACGCGGUGGUCCUGCCGGAUGGCACCAUUUGGAUUUGCUGCGGACAGGAAGUUGGCCAGCCGUUCGACGAUGCUAGGUCUAUCACCACGCCCGAACUCUACAAUCCUGUAGACAAUACGAUGAAGAAACUUUCGCCGGGUAACGUCCCUCGGAACUACCACUCAACCGCUGUCCUUCUUAAGGACGGUUGCAUCGUAUCAGGCGGAAGCGGCUUGUGCGGAACCUGCACCACGAACCACCCCAACUUCCAAGUUUUCUGUCCUCCAUAUAUUUUCGACGAGGAUGGAAACGAAGCAGUCAGACCUGUAAUCCUUGGUAUGUCAACUAAGGACGCAGUACACGGAGCCACAGUUACGUUAAAAACCGACGUUGAAGUUGCAAAGGCGUGCCUGAUACGUUUGGGCAGCGCUACACAUACUGUGAAUACCGAUCAAAGGCGAAUGGAGUUGAAGGUAGAAAAACAACGACGAAAACGCGGGGACCCCCCUACCUGCUCCUUUAAGGUGCCUGACGAUCCUGGUGUUUGCAUUCCGGGCUAUUACUGGGUGUUCGUGCUCAACGACAAAGGUGUCCCGUGUAUUGCGGAGAUACUGCACGUGGGGCUCAAGAAAAAUAAUUGA